AUUGAACGCUGGCGGAAUGCUUUACACAUGCAAGUCGAACGGCAGCACGGGGCAACCUGGUGGCGAGUGGCGAACGGGUGAGUAAUACAUCGGAACGUGCCCAAUCGUGGGGGAUAACGUAGCGAAAGUUACGCUAAUACCGCAUACGAUCUACGGAUGAAAGCGGGGGAUCGCAAGACCUCGCGCGAGUGGAGCGGCCGAUGUCAGAUUAGGUAGUUGGUGGGGUAAAGGCUCACCAAGCCAACGAUCUGUAGCUGGUCUGAGAGGACGACCAGCCACACUGGAACUGAGACACGGUCCAGACUCCUACGGGAGGCAGCAGUGGGGAAUUUUGGACAAUGGGCGCAAGCCUGAUCCAGCCAUUCCGCGUGCAGGGUGAAGGCCUUCGGGUUGUAAACUGCUUUUGUACGGAACGAAACGGCGAGCUCUAAUACAGUUUGCUAAUGACGGUACCGUAAGAAUAAGCACCGGCUAACUACGUG
rnacentral:rRNA from 1 species